rnacentral:tRNA from 2 species
AAGAUACUAGUAAAAUAUCUAUUACAUUGCCUUGUCAAGGCAAAAUUGUGAGUUGAACUCUCGCGUGUCUUA